rnacentral:rRNA from 1 species
GAUGAACGCUGGCGGCGUGCCUAAUACAUGCAAGUCGAGCGAACAGACGAGGAGCUUGCUCCUCUGACGUUAGCGGCGGACGGGUGAGUAACACGUGGAUAACCUACCUAUAAGACUGGGAUAACUUCAGGAAACCGGAGCUAAUACCGGAUAAUAUAUUGAACCGCAUGGUUCAAUAGUGAAAGACGGUUUUGCUGUCACUUAUAGAUGGAUCCGCGCCGCAUUAGCUAGUUGGUAAGGUAACGGCUUACCAAGGCAACGAUGCGUAGCCGACCUGAGAGGGUGAUCGGCCACACUGGAACUGAGACACGGUCCAGACUCCUACGGGAGGCAGCAGUAGGGAAUCUUCCGCAAUGGGCGAAAGCCUGACGGAGCAACGCCGCGUGAGUGAUGAAGGUCUUCGGAUCGUAAAACUCUGUUAUUAGGGAAGAACAAAUGUGUAAGUAACUAUGCACGUCUUGACGGUACCGAAUCAGAAAGCCACGGCUAACUACGG